rnacentral:rRNA from 1 species
UCUUUUCCUUUUGUGCCCGCCGCCGCGGUAAUACGGAAGGUCCGGGCGUUAUCCGGAUUUAUUGGGUUUAAAGGGAGCGUAGGCCGUCUGUUAAGCGUGUUGUGAAAUGUCGGGGCUCAACCUGGGCAUUGCAGCGCGAACUGGCAGACUUGAGUGCGCGGGAAGUAGGCGGAAUUCGUCGUGUAGCGGUGAAAUGCUUAGAUAUGACGAAGAACUCCGAUUGCGAAGGCAGCCUGCUGUAGCGUAACUGACGCUGAAGCUCGAAAGCGUGGGUAUCGAACAGG